rnacentral:lncRNA from 1 species
GAAAUUUGGCAACGCCUGCAGGUUCAUACGAUGUUUUUCCUCGACACGGCAGCGGGGGGCAGGACUUUUGGGCGGGGAAGGGCUCGUUUGGGCGAAAAGUUGGGGGCUUUUGGGCGAGUAAGAAACAGUGCAAAAUAGCCUUCCCCCGAUUAGGGAGGGGGUCUUAUGGGCGAGAGGAAAAAAGGUACCUUUUGAAGGAAAUAUGUGAAUGUGGCAACACCGAACAACAUGUUGAAUGAAAGAACAGUAUGAAACACACUCACCAUUGUAUGUAGAGUUGAGUAAUAUAAAAAUAUCACAGCUGUAGGUGGCUGGUCGUCAAUUGAUAAAUCUGGAUGAGAAUUUAAAUUUUCUUAGCUUGGAAAUGGUGACCUAGGCGCUUGAGGUAAGUCAACCGAGCUUCUCGAUCACGUUUGCUCGCCGCGUAAGUAUUCCAGGCUUCUAUCGCAUAAUUAUUUCGGUCAAUUGUCGGUUGUUUAAUAGUAUUUGUGACAUUCAUGUUGACGGAAGUUAUUUUAGUUAACGUUUCUGCUUGAAUCUGACGUAGGACUUCAACCACGUUGUGAAUGUUGGGAUGGGUAUGAUAGAAUUCUUUAUUAUAGUUACUAUGAAACGAUUCGUUGCCAUUUGUAGUGCGAGGGCAAUUUGACGGCGGUCCGGCCCAUAAAUCUGGAGGAUACUUUGACAAAGUCAAAAUAUAGUUAUUCAGAAGAUAAUUUGAAAAUUCCGUUUGUGUUUCUUGAGGUAUGCCGUCAGGAACGAUAGACAUUAAAUCUAGGAAACCACCCAACACUUCGUUUGGCGGUAACAAUGGCAAGCCAAAAAAAAGUUCGCUCACUUGCAUCAAUUUUAAAUUUGAUUCACACGUCAAGAUUACCAUAUUUUUGGCUGCAUUCACAAAACAGAAUUGCUGUCCUUUCACUAAAAUUUUGCGUUGUAAAUCAUACAGCUGACAGUAUGCUUCCUGUCUCGAUUUGGUAUUGGAGCAGGGAGAGAUUUUUUUCUUUCCUUAUACAUCAUUUUCCGAAUACCAGGCAAUUCUAAAUUUGAUAAUUCACAGGCACCAUCUAAUAAAAGUUCGCGUCUUAUAAUCUUACUCGGUUUUUCGAUUAAAUUUUCGGCCGCUUUCCUUUUGACACUAACUUUAAAUUUUUGUUUGGUUAUUUCUUCCGACGUGUAUGGCUCAUGAUUAUGUUCAACAGCACUAGGUUGGAUCACUUUUUUUACAGUUUCGUCAACUAGCACACUUGCCCCGCACUUCUUAUUAGCGCACCUGAACCUAAUGUUUCCGGACUGUAAAACAUUCGAUUCCGUUAAUUUAUACAAUUCAAUUAUAACACACCGUUUGCCGCGAAAUGUCCUAAAACCGAUGAAAUUUCGAUAUCCAUAACGUGCGAGUUUUAAGCGAAGUCACUGCGCUACUACGGCUAAUUACGACGC